AGAAUCAACGCUGGCGGCGUGCCUAACACAUGCAAGUCGCACGAGAAAGGGGAGCAAUCCCUGAGUACAGUGGCGCACGGGUGAGUAACACGUGAAUAAUCUACCUCCGAGUGGGGAAUAACUGAGAGAAAUCUGGGCUAAUACCGCAUAAUACCUUCGGGUCAAAGGAGCAAUUCGCUUAAGGAGGGGGUCGCGGCCGAUUAGUUAGUUGGCGGGGUAAUGGCCCACCAAGACUGUGAUCGGUA
rnacentral:rRNA from 1 species